AGCCUUUGGAGAGGAUUAAAGGUUAUACCUGCCCAAUGUUGUAUUAAUGGCCGCGGUACUUUGACCGUGCUAAGGUAGCACAAUCAAUUGGCCCUUAAUUAGGGUCAGGUAUGAAUGGAGUUACGGGGCUUAGCUGUCUCUAGACUAUUUAAUUGAAGUUGCUAUAUAGGUGAAAAAGCCUGUAUUAAGAAAAAAGACGAGAAGACCCUUAGAGUUUUACUUAAAAAAGAGUUAUUUCUUCACUAGUUUUGUUGGGGCAACAUAGGAGAAGAACCAAACCUCCUAAAGGGUAUAAACCGAUGUUUUUAAAUAUGAAUAAACUACCUUAGGGAUAACAGCAUAAUUUUAAAAAUAAGUUUGUGACCUCGAUGUUGGACUAGGAAACUUAAGGGCUAGCCGCCUUUUGGUAAGGUUCUGUUCGAACUAUAAUUCCU
rnacentral:rRNA from 1 species